GCUAGUCGUACGUGUUUAGACUCGUGGCGCAUAGCUCCGUAACACGUGGCCAAACUACCCUUCGGAGGAGCACAACCUCGGGAAACUGAGGCUAAUUCUCCAUACGACACUCCCCCUGGAAUGGAGAGUGUCCGAAACGCUCCGGCGCCGAAGGAUGUGGCUGCGGCCGAUUAGGUAGACGGUGGGGUAACGGCCCACCGUGCCGAUAAUCGGUACGGGUUGUGAGAGCAAGAGCCCGGAGACGGAACCUGAGACAAGAUUCCGGGCCCUACGGGGCGCAGCAGGCGCGAAACCUUUACACUGCACGUCAGUGCGAUAAGGGGAUCCCGAGUGCGCAGGCAUAGAGCCUGCGCUUUUCUGAACUGUAGGAGGUUCAGGAACAAGAGCUGGGCAAGACCGGUGCCAGCCGCCGCGGUAAUACCGGCAGCACGAGUGAUGACCGAUAUUAUUGGACCUAAAGCGUCCGUAGCUGGCCAAGCAAGUCCAUUGGGGAAUCCACGUGCUCAACGCGUGGGCGUCCGGUGGAAACUGUUUGGCGUGGGGCCAGAAGACCUGAGGGAUACGUCCGGGGUAGGAGUGGAAUCCUGUAAUCCUGGACGGACCACCAAUGGGGAAACCACCUCAGGAGGAUGGACCCGACAGUGAGGGACGAAAGCUAGGGUCUCGAACCGGAUUAGAUACCCGGGUAGUCCUAGCUGUAAACGAUGCUCGCUAGGUGUGCCGUAGGCUACGAGCC
rnacentral:rRNA from 1 species